GGUGCGCCCCCUGGCGGGGAGGCGGGCCCUGAGGAGAGUGCCAGGCUCCUGGAGAUCUGGUAACACUCGCCGAAACCAGUGCUUCCUGGGACCUAGUUUGGAAAAGCUGGUUGUGAAAUACAUACUGCGGUUCAGCCUCCUCCCGCCUAAGAGCAACAAUGCCUGUGAGCAUAACCUUACCAAGAAGCGUGAAUCAUAUGAUAAUUACAUAUGGCACCCACAUAUCCAGAGGAGAACAGCACGGUGUGAGCCCUCAUCAAAUUGUCCAAGCCAGAAACCUAGGCCUUUUCCUGGAAUGACGUUCCUCCACAGGUCUCUAAUAGGUGGACCCCUGCAGCAUUCACCCAGCUUUUUCACUGCGCCUGAAUAGAAGAUGCCCUUUCAGGCCAGGCGCAGUGGCUCACACCUGUAAUCCCAGCACUUUGGGAGGCCGAGGCGGGUGGAUCACGAGGUCAAGAGAUCGAGACCAUCCUGGCCAACAUGGUGAAACCCCGUCUCUAAUAAAAAUAAAAAUAAAAAAAAUUAGCUGGGUGUGGUGGUGCAUGCCUUGUAGUCCCAGCUGCUCGGGAGGCUGAGGCAGAAGAAUUGCUUCAACCCAGGAGAUGGAGGUUGCAGUGAGCCAAGAUCGCACCACUGCACUCCAGCCUGGUGACCCAGAAAGACUUCAUCUAAAAAAAAAGUUGCCCUUUCAUAACUGUUACCUCUGGACGUACUCUUUCUAGAAAGUCCUGCCCUUCGCUGUGCUAUCCCUGAAGAUCAGCACAAAUGUCAUCUCCAAGAGGAAGCCUGGAGCACCCACCAUCACCAUCACCACCCACAGAUGGACAAAAUUACCAAUAGUCUCCUCUCUCAGGUUUCCCAUAUAAUUACCUUUAUUACACUUAACAUAAAUAAGAUAGCCUCUCCACCUCUUUUUUUCAGUUAAAUGAUCCAACCAACUAAACUUUAAUUCAAUCGACUAUCGUUUGGCCACAAAUACUAUAUUCACUCUUUCUCUAAUCGAAUCAGAACUUGAAUGUCAAUAUCAUCCCUAAACCUUAUCAUCCACCCUCCCAUUAUCCAGCAUCCACCUCCUGAACUCAGUCACGGCCUCCAAAUACUAUAGCCAGCUCCCAGAAUUAAAAGGUUGAGCCUCAAAUUCUCAGAAAAGUUUAACAAGAAAAACAACUAGAAAGAAGGAGAUUUAUCCUAAAAGUCUGAUAUACUGUUCUGUAGAAUUUUCCCCUAAGUUCCAAGAUGAUAACUUCCUCUUUCAGCCUUAAUUCUCAGCGAAAAUACCCACAAAACUAAAAGCUACUGCUUUAAGCUCUUAAAUUUUAUCAGCAAAAUGAGGCUGAGGACCCGAGCCCACGCAAAUGGUGAAACUUUAAGAAAGAAGAAUAAAUAGAACAAAAAAGAAUGAUUGUUCUAGUUAUUCUUCCCUGAUUGAGACAUUAUGGUUUGUUUUUCCAAUAGGUUUUGUCAUAAAGGAGGAAAUAGGCAUAUUACAGAAAAGUUUGAAAAGAAAUGUAAAUAAAUAAAAAGUUCACUCAACAUGAACACAUAAGUAACAUAACUAUUAAUGUUUGCAAGUUCCCUUCCAAUAUUUUAUGUGCACAUAGAUCUGUAUAUAUUUAGCAAUUUUAAUCAAACUUUGCAUCCCAUUUGAUGACUUUUUUUCCAUUUAAGUUUUUUUUUCUGUUUUUGUUUUUGAGACGGAGUCUGGCUCUGUCUUCCA